GUGCCAGCCGCCGCGGUAAUACGUAGGGUGCAAGCGUUGCCCGGAUUUAUUGGGCGUAAAGGGCGCGCAGGCGGCUACGCACGUUCGUUGUGAAAUCGCCCGGCUCAACUGGGCGGGGUCAGCGAAUACGGCGUGGCUGGAGCAAGCUAGGGGGCAAUGGAAUUCCCGGUGUAGUGGUGGAAUGCGUAGAUAUCGGGAGGAACACCAGUGGCGAAGGCGGUUGCCUGGAGCUUUGCUGACGCUGAGGCGCGAAAGCGUGGGGAGCGAUCCGGAUUAGAAACCCGGGUAGUCC
rnacentral:rRNA from 1 species